rnacentral:lncRNA from 1 species
GAGCUCGGGCCAAGAAACUUCAAGAAGCUGUCCAAACUUUAUUAACUCAAGCCCAAGGAGAAGGUUCUAGUCCACAUGAAGAUUUGGACUUGAAGAUGGUUAAUAUGUGGCAAGUCCAUUUCGACAAUAUCCAGCCCAAUUAAUUAUUUAAACAUGGAAAAGAAGAGUCUAAUCCUUUCAAAUUCGGACUCCUCUUUAUGGUGCAUUUAUCAUAGGCUUUUGGAAGGCUGAAGGACAUUUUUGAGGCUUGCAAAUGAAGGAUGAACCUAGUCAAAAUGGUUGGAAGUUUUGCUGCAACUUUCCAAGGUUAAUUAAUUGCUGCCAAGACUUUAAGUAGUAUUCCUUUCAUCUUCACCAA